GAACGCUAGCGGCAGGCUUAACACAUGCAAGUCGAGGGGCAGCGGGGAGGAAGCUUGCUUUCUCCGCCGGCGACCGGCGCACGGGUGAGUAACACGUAUGCAACCUGCCCCUGUCAGGGGGACAACCCGCCGAAAGGCGGGCUAAACCCGCGUACAUGCCACCGGGGCAUCCCGGAGGCAGGAAAGGCUUCGGCCGGACAGGGAUGGGCAUGCGGCGCAUUAGGCAGUAGGCGGGGUAACGGCCCACCUAACCGACGAUGCGUAGGGGUUCUGAGAGGAAGGUCCCCCACACUGGUACUGAGACACGGACCAGACUCCUACGGGAGGCAGCCGUGAGGAAUAUUGGUCAAUGGUCGGGAGACUGAACCAGCCAAGCCGCGUGAGGGAUGAAGGUACAGAGUAUCGUAAACCUCUUUUGUCAGGGAACAAAGGCGGGGACGUGUCCCCGGAUGAGUGUACCUGAAGAAAAAGCAUCGGCUAACUCCGUGCCAGCAGCCGCGGUAAUACGGAGGAUGCGAGCGUUAUCCGGAUUUAUUGGGUUUAAAGGGUGCGCAGGCGGUCUGUUAAGUCAGCGGUCAAAGCCCGGGGCUCAACCCCGGCCCGCCGUUGAAACUGGCAGUCUCGAGUUGGAGAGAAGUAUGCGGAAUGCGCGGUGUAGCGGUGAAAUGCAUAGAUAUCGCGCAGAACUCCGAUUGCGAAGGCAGCAUGCCGGCUCCACACUGACGCUGAGGCACGAAAGCGUGGGUAUCGAACAGGAUUAGAUACCCUGGUAGUCCACGCAGUAAACGAUGAAUGCUGGCUGUCCGGGGGGGACUGACCCCUGGGUGGCGAAGCGAAAGCGAUAAGCAUUCCACCUGGGGAGUACGCCGGCAACGGUGAAACUCAAAGGAAUUGACGGGGGCCCGCACAAGCGGAGGAACAUGUGGUUUAAUUCGAUGAUACGCGAGGAACCUUACCCGGGCUCAAACGGGGAGUGACUCAGGCAGAGACGCCUGUUUCCCACGGGACACUCCCCGAGGUGCUGCAUGGUUGUCGUCAGCUCGUGCCGUGAGGUGUCGGCUUAAGUGCCAUAACGAGCGCAACCCCCGCGUGCAGUUGCUAACAGAUAACGCUGAGGACUCUGCACGGACUGCCGGCGCAAGCCGCGAGGAAGGCGGGGAUGACGUCAAAUCAGCACGGCCCUUACGUCCGGGGCGACACACGUGUUACAAUGGGUGGUACAGCGGGAAGCCAGGCGGCGACGCCGAGCGGAACCCGAAAUCCACUCUCAGUUCGGAUCGGAGUCUGCAACCCGACUCCGUGAAGCUGGAUUCGCUAGUAAUCGCGCAUCAGCCAUGGCGCGGUGAAUACGUUCCCGGGCCUUGUACACACCGCCCGUCAAGCCAUGGGAGCCGAGGGCGCUUGAAGUGCGUCGCCGCGAGGCGCGCCCUAGAGCGAAAUCGGUGACU
rnacentral:rRNA from 1 species